GAUGAACGCUGGCGGCGUGCCUAAUACAUGCAAGUCGAGCGAACGGACGAGAAGCUUGCUUCUCUGAUGUUAGCGGCGGACGGGUGAGUAACACGUGGAUAACCUACCUAUAAGACUGGGAUAAAUUCGGGAAACCGGAGCUAAUACCGGAUAAUAUUUUGAACCGCAUGGUUCAAAAGUGAAAGACGGUCUUGCUGUCACUUAUAGAUGGAUCCGCGCUGCAUUAGCUAGUUGGUAAGGUAACGGCUUACCAAGGCAACGAAGCAUAGCCGACCUGAGAGGGUGAUCGGCCACACUGGAACUGAGACACGGUCCAGACUCCUACGGGAGGCAGCAGUAGGGAAUCUUCCGCAAUGGGCGAAAGCCUGACGGAGCAACGCCGCGUGAGUGAUGAAGGUCUUCGGAUCGUAAAACUCUGUUAUUAGGGAAGAACAUAUGUGUAAGUAACUGUGCACAUCUUGACGGUACCUAAUCAGAAAGCCACGGCUAACUACGUG
rnacentral:rRNA from 1 species